rnacentral:rRNA from 1 species
AACGCGAAGAACCUUACCUACCCUUGACAUCCUGCGAAUCUUGAUGAGAAUUAGGAGUGCCGAAAGGAACGCAGAGACAGGUGCUGCAUGGCUGUCGUCAGCUCGUGUUGUGAGAUGUUGGGUUAAGUCCCGUAACGAGCGCAACCCUUGUCCUUAGUUGCCAUCAUUUAGUUGGGGACUCUAAGGAGACUGCCGGUGAUGAACCGGAGGAAGGCGGGGACGACGUCAAGUCAUCAUGGCCUUUAUGGGUAGGGCUACACACGUGCUACAAUGGGGCGUACAAAGGGUAGCGAACUCGCGAGAGGGAGCCAAUCUCACUAAAACGCCUCGUAGUCCAGAUUGGAGUCUGCAACUCGACUCCAUGAAGUUGGAAUCGCUAGUAAUCGCGAAUCAGCAACGUCGCGGUGAAUACGUUCCCGGGCCUUGUACACACCGAUAGC